CAGCCUGCAACUCGGCUGCACGAAGCUGGAAUCGCUAGUAAUCGCGGAUCAGAAUGCCGCGGUGAAUACGUUCCCGGGUCUUGUACACACCGCCCGUCACACCAUGGGAGCCGGGAAUGCCCGAAGUCAGCGGCCCAACCGCAAGGAGGGAGCUGCCGAAGGCAGGUCUGGUGACUGGGGUGAAGUCGUAACAAGGUAAC
rnacentral:rRNA from 1 species